rnacentral:rRNA from 2 species
CUGGAGGUAUCAGAAGUGCGAAUGCUGACAUAAGUAACGAUAAAGCGGGUGAAAAGCCCGCUCGCCGGAAGACCAAGGGUUCCUGUCCAACGUUAAUCGGGGCAGGGUGAGUCGACCCCUAAGGCGAGGCCGAAAGGCGUAGUCGAUGGGAAACGGGUUAAUAUUCCCGUACUUGGUGUUACUGCGAAGGGGGGACGGAGAAGGCUAUGUUGGCCGGGCGACGGUUGUCCCGGUUUAAGCGUGUAGGUGUGUGUUCCAGGUAAAUCCGGUUCACUUUAACACUGAGGCGUGACGACGAGGCACUACGGUGCUGAAGCAACAAAUGCCCUGCUUCCAGGAAAAGCCUCUAAGCAUCAGGUAACAUCAAAUCGUACCCCAAACCGACACAGGUGGUCAGGUAGAGAAUACCAAGGCGCUUGAGAGAACUCGGGUGAAGGAACUAGGCAAAAUGGUGCCGUAACUUCGGGAGAAGGCACGCUGACACGUAGGUGAAGUGAUUUACUCAUGGAGCUGAAGUCAGUCGAAGAUACCAGCUGGCUGCAACUGUUUAUUAAAAACACAGCACUGUGCAAACACGAAAGUGGACGUAUACGGUGUGACGCCUGCCCGGUGCCGGAAGGUUAAUUGAUGGGGUCAGCGCAAGCGAAGCUCCUGAUCGAAGCCCCGGUAAACGGCGGCCGUAACUAUAACGGUCCUAAGGUAGCGAAAUUCCUUGUCGGGUAAGUUCCGACCUGCACGAAUGGCGUAAUGAUGGCCAGGCUGUCUCCACCCGAGACUCAGUGAAAUUGAACUCGCUGUGAAGAUGCAGUGUACCCGCGGCAAGACGGAAAGACCCCGUGAACCUUUACUAUAGCUUGACACUGAACAUUGAGCCUUGAUGUGUAGGAUAGGUGGGAGGCUUUGAAGCGUGGACGCCAGUCUGCGUGGAGCCGACCUUGAAAUACCACCCUUUAAUGUUUGAUGUUCUAACGUGGACCCGUUACCCGGGUUGCGGACAGUGUCUGGUGGGUAGUUUGACUGGGGCGGUCUCCUCCUAAAGAGUAACGGAGGAGCACGAAGGUUGGCUAAUCCUGGUCGGACAUCAGGAGGUUAGUGCAAUGGCAUAAGCCAGCUUGACUGCGAGCGUGACGGCGCGAGCAGGUGCGAAAGCAGGUCAUAGUGAUCCGGUGGUUCUGAAUGGAAGGGCCAUCGCUCAACGGAUAAAAGGUACUCCGGGGAUAACAGGCUGAUACCGCCCAAGAGUUCAUAUCGACGGCGGUGUUUGGCACCUCGAUGUCGGCUCAUCACAUCCUGGGGCUGAAGUAGGUCCCAAGGGUAUGGCUGUUCGCCAUUUAAAGUGGUACGCGAGCUGGGUUUAGAACGUCGUGAGACAGUUCGGUCCCUAUCUGCCGUGGGCGCUGGAGAACUGAGGGGGGCUGCUCCUAGUACGAGAGGACCGGAGUGGACGCAUCACUGGUGUUCGGGUUGUCAUGCCAAUGGCACUGCCCGGUAGCUAAAUGCGGAAGAGAUAAGUGCUGAAAGCAUCUAAGCACGAAACUUGCCCCGA